rnacentral:rRNA from 1 species
GAUGAACGCUGGCGGUAUGCCUAACACAUGCAAGUCGUACGAGAGUUUUUAACUCUAGUGGCGGACGGGUGAGUAACACGUGAGAAUUUGCCUUUAGGAGGGGGACAACAAUCGGAAACGAAUGCUAAUACCCCAUAUGCUUUCGAGUGAAAUGGAUUUUAUCCGCCUAGAGAGAAGCUCGCGGCUGAUUAGCUUGUUGGUAAGGUAAGAGCUUACCAAGGCGACGAUCAGUAUCUGGUUUGAGAGGACGAUCAGACACACUGGAACUGAGACACGGUCCAGACUCCUACGGGAGGCAGCAGUGGGGAAUUUUCCGCAAUGGCGAAAGCCUGACGGAGCAAUACCGCGUGAGGGGAAGACUGCCUAUGGGUUGUAAACCUCUUUUUUCAGGGUAGGAAUAAAUGACGUGUACCUGAAGAAUAAGCAUCGGCUAACUCCGUG